rnacentral:rRNA from 1 species
ACGAACGCUGGCGGCGUGCUUAAUACAUGCAAGUCAACUUGACUUUAGAUAGCAAUAUCGAAAAGUAGGGUGGCGCACGGGUGCGUAACGCGUAGGUAAUCUGCCCUGAGGUCUGACAUAACCCGUCGAAAGGCGGGCUAACAUCAGAUGAUAUAUAGUCACGACAUCGUGGAAAUAUCAAAUCUUCGGAGCCUUGGGAUGAGCCUGCGUCUGAUUAGGUAGUUGGCGGAGUAAUAGCCCACCAAGCCUACGAUCAGUAGCUGGUCUGAGAGGAUGAUCAGCCACACUGGAACUGAGACACGGUCCAGACUCCUACGGGAGGCAGCAGUAAGGAAUAUUGCUCAAUGGGGGGAAACCCUGAAGCAGCAACGCCGCGUGAAGGAUGAAAUACUUUGUAUGUAAACUUCUGUAAGAUGGGAAAAAUAUUCUCCUCGGGAGAAUUGAUUGUACCAUCAGAGUAAGCCCCGGCUAACUACGUG